rnacentral:rRNA from 1 species
UCGGGAAUUUUGGGCAAUGGGCGCAAGCCUGAUCCAGCCAUGCCGCGUGCAGGAUGACGGUCCUAUGGAUUGUAAACUGCUUUUGUACAGGAAGAAACAGUUCUACGUGUAGAACCUUGACGGUACUGUAAGAAUAAGGAUCGGCUAACUCCGUGCCAGCAGCCGCGGUAAUACGGAGGAUCCAAGCGUUAUCCGGAAUCAUUGGGUUUAAAGGGUCCGUAGGCGGUUAGAUAAGUCAGUGGUGAAAGCCCAUCGCUCAACGGUGGAACGGCCAUUGAUACUGUCUGACUUGAAUUAUUAGGAAGUAACUAGAAUAUGUAGUGUAGCGGUGAAAUGCUUAGAGAUUACAUGGAAUACCAAUUGCGAAGGCAGGUUACUACUAAUGGAUUGACGCUGAUGGACGAAAGCGUGGGGAGCAAACAGGAUUAGAUACCCCAGUAGUCCCUGAGCGGGCUGGCAAGGCGCAU